rnacentral:lncRNA from 1 species
CAACCAGAUACUUGGCCAGAGGGAAAUCUGGACAUACAGCAUGGUGAGACAGAGGUCCUUCGCUUUAAAAUAGAGAAGAGAGAGCAUCCAGGGAUUUCGGGAGUUCAAGGAACUGAGGGCAUCCCGGACCCCAGCAGCCCUCAAGCCUCUUCUUAAAGCUGUUCAUACAAUUGCAGUGUCUACCAGUGAAUGUGAAAGAGCCUUCAGUUGCAUGAAUGACAUUCUAACAUUUAAAAGGAACUCCCUAGCUGUAAACAGACUGUCUAACCUGGUGUUUCUGAAGUGCAAUGGGCCACCAUUACAGCAGUUUAAUCCACACAAUUAUGUGAGAUCAUGGUUGGCAAAGGGACAAAGAUCUGCAGAUUAACUUGCAUGUGAAGCCCCUCACCAUUCAGCAGCAGCUGUGACCCCAAGACCUUCUGGAGCCUUUUUUAGCCUGUGCCUCACAAAGGCACUAAAAAGCUGUUGCACCCUCAUGUUCCUGGGAUCCUGAUGAACAACCCCAUAACAUCCUGUUGCCAUUCUGGAUUGUACAGUUCCAAUCUCAGCACUGUGGCAGACUUGGAGUUCUGUUUACACACACACACACACACUCACAAACACACACACACAUGCACACGCACUCACACGCACACACACUCACACGCACACGCACACACACUCACAUACACACACACACACUCAUUUGUUUAAAUGAAUUUGUUGAUAAUAAAUAACAAUAAAUUGUUGUUGAACCAGAAAAAUCUGGCUUUUUUUUUCCACUGUAAAAAUCUCAAAUGUAAUGAUAUGCAAAUGAAAGAGAGUACCAGCACCUUUUUCCCCCCACUUCAAGCACUGGGUCCAAGGUAAUGCACAAACAGGCUAAGAAGAAUUGGUACUUAUCAAUAGUCAACUUUAUGCAAGCUCUGAACUGAGGUGAAAGAGAUAUUAUCUCGGAAAUAAUGUUAUCUCGAAAUAUAUAUAUUUUUUUAAAUGUAUGAAUAGUGUGACGGCAAUUUCUAAAGUCCAAACAAUUUACGAAAAUGGUAGGUAAGACAGGAAAACUCAAUUGCACAAUAAACAGUUUAAUCAUUGUAAGGGGAGAGUACACACAGGUUACAAAGUAACAGUGAAUAAUCUCAAAAUUAAUACAGGACAAUCGUGAGUACUUAAAGGGGAAAAAGGGGUGUGGUAAGAUGCAGUGGCGGUUGCUGGUCUUUCAAAGAGGGGAAGCUCAUUUUCAGCCUACAUUAUAACCCUCUGAAGGUCUUCAUUUGUAGUGACACUCGGGGUCUUUUGGACCCCAGACAAUAACAUUUAAUUUUGUAACAGAACAAUAUAUAUAUAUAUAUAUGUAUUUUUUACAAAUAUAAUUUUACUCUGUUUAUUAAUGGCUUCACUAAAAUUUGGUCGACAAUAUUAACACUGUCUGCCAUCGUGCGCAGUUUCACCCGCCUACAACGCUAGCCUAGCCUACUACUGUAUAUGAAUGAAUGAAUGAACUAUCUAAAAAAUAUAUAUUAAACUUUGUAAAACUGAAACAAGGAUUGUGGUGUAGCCUAUAAUUGUGUGAAAUGUAUGAUGCAAAUCGGCUAGCAAUUUCGCCAGACAAAUAUCAAGAAAUAUUGCAGCAGUUUGUCUUUUGAAUACCAUUGAGAAAUCCGCGAUGGGACUGAGCGCGAAAUAGCUUCAGUGACUUCUUAUAGUACAGACCACUGUCAGUCAAAAGGAGAUGCAGUUUGACAGAUCGUCAGAUCCUCCAAUCAUCACGCGGAAUCCCAGAGUCCGGGCCAGCCCACUUCUCAUUCACCCCCAGAGACACUGAGCGUCCGUGGGCGGGACAUAAUCACAGCAUUUAUCCAAUUACCAUCUACUUUCGGAGCACUGAAAAAAACUGUUCUAAGCAGCCCCAUUGAAGUCAAUGGACGCUUGGCUUCACUGUGAUGCUGCGGGAUUGUAUGAGAAGAAAAUCGAGUCAGCCAACCUGUAGCUGAUUCUGAACUAACUAGUUCUAGAGAUGAACGUGUUUUAACACAUUUUUAGUCAAUAAAAUGUUUCACAAUAGAACAUAUUUGACCAUUAUUAUAAUUUUUUAUUAUAUGGGAAGCCAAGCUUCCCUUGCAGUCUCCCCAUUGGUAAGAUGCUGCCUAUCUGUCUUAUGUCAAUACAACACAUUCCCUAUGUUCUAUCACAUAUCCUAGGCUUAACACAAGGCACAUGUUGUCCUCCCCCACCUGGGUAACCUUCUCAACCCUUGAGGAGGACUUAAAGCAUCUGGAAAAACUACAGAUAGACACUAAUGGGUUAUACAGAUUUACGAUUAACCCCAUAAUCUGCUGAUACCAGUCAAGGAUGCCCCCUUAGACAAAUACCAGAUCCCCCUCUUCCACAUUCCUCUACUUAUCUAAACAUGGGGGCUCAGUCCUUUAAUCAGUAAGAAUACAUCAGUUUAAGAAAUUUCCCUGACAAUAGGUAUGUAUUUUAAAUGUAUUUCACAGAUUUCAUCUGUUUCCUGUUAUAGCAACUCUUGAAAAUGUUUUCUAUAGCUGAUGACCCAAUUUAAGAUUGUUUAUAAAAUCCUGAAGUACAUUUCGCUGUCAUGUGUUAUAUCACAGUAGUAGUCUAACCCUUCCGGUUCAGGCUGAAACUGAAAACUAAUCAGCUAGACACAGUGUCAGUUAUUACGGCAAAUUUCACAUGCUUUUUGUAUCCUUUAUGAUAAAUGUUACUAACAACACAUGAUAGAAAAUCAAAAAAAUACAACCAUACACUUUGAAAAUAAAGACAGGUGCAUAAGGUGUUUUGCGUAUCUAUCAGAAUUUGUAUGUCUCAAAAUAAAACCAAACUUAUUUUUUUGGUGCUGCAUCUCUAAGUUUAUCUCGUUAAAAUUAGAUAACUAAAAAAAGUACUGUUCAGGGCUUCCAUGCAUCUCUUAGCUGGUAGGAUUGUUUGAUAAAUAAUAGUUUUUCUGUGUGUAUAAAUAUCAAUUAAAAUAUUUCUAGAUGCAAUUUUUAUUUAAAUGAGGCCCCUCUAAUACAGGUUAAGGUCAAUUUAAUAUAUUUUAAAACAUGAUGAAUAAUGUGAUGCUUUGUAUUUGUGUAUUUCUCACUUUGCCUGUGUCCUUCAGAAACCCAUCUCCCCAUCUCAGCAUGCUUCCAAAACCAAAAGGAACUCUGCACUGAUUGAGAAGCUGCAGGUGAGUGUGGUUUGUGUGUUACCCUCAUUAGCAAAAAUUACUGGGUUGAAUGACUGGCUGCUUAAAAAUCCACAUACUUGAUCCAGUUACUCUCAUCUCCCAAAUACGUUAUCUCUUAAGCUUAUAGCAAUUUUACAGUUUUUAACUGUGACUGCAUUCAUUAAUCUAACAAGAAGGCAAUCUUUUUGAGUACUGUAAUACUGUUUCCUUUCAGAAAGCUAUGGCUUUUGGCUUAAACCUGGUGUUGUGUAUUUUAGUCAUACUGUAGAAAGAAAGAAAAUAUUUGAAUACAUUUUUUCUUUUAUAUCAACAGUCCCAAUUAAGAACUUGUUAUUUUUUACAAUAAUGGCCAGUACACAAAUACACCUAUUAACAACUCAUUAUUUGUAUGACAAAAGUUUAAUAAAUAAUAUAAAUAAAGACGCAAAAUUGACACUGGUUAAGUGUUUAGAGCUCUGGAAGGCAUUUUUUUCAACAAAGGUUUAGAAGUCAUCAAACACAAACAAACUGCUGUGACAGGGAGGCAAAAUCAGUUCAGGGGCAGCCUUCCAGUGGCAGUUUGGGAGGAAUGGGCUUGGGUGAUUGCUGAUUUGACAAGGAGAUAUGUCACAAGUCUGUGUCUCUAACCACUACACUACUCAAGAAGGGUCGGUGACAUUUGCUCUUCUUACGCGGUCUGGCAAAAACAGCAACUUGUAUUACCUUUGUUGAAUUGGUAAUUACUGACUGGUAAACAACAUCGUUGGAAUUUUGUUUAAUGAAUAAUUAUUUAGCCUAAUAUAUUUGUAGAAUAUUAGUUUUCAGUAAAAUAAGCAGAGAAAAUUCAGAGAGAACAUAGGAUGUGUGUAGCUUAACUUAUAAUACCUUUACAUUUUAGACUUACAUCUAAUGAAUUAGCCUACACAAUAAGCUGAAUCUCCUAUUGAAAAAUGGGAACCUGUGAUAAGUUGCCUAUAUUGUUUGUAUUAUGUUUCAAUAAUAGCCUAAUUACGUUUUGAAUGGUCAUGGAAAUCUUGUAUUUCAUUUGUAAGUUCAUUCAAAUUCAACCAAUGUCUGAUCAUUCAACUGGGAGUAUUUUUGGCAGCAAGUAACAGAGGUAGGUUUGGCGUUAAAUGAGCAGUGGUCUUGAAGAAAGUAACCUAAUCCCCACUGUGAAUUAUAGUGGUGGAUGUUUGAUGUUUUGGGGCCCUCUGAAAAUGGUUCACUGAACAUAGGACCAAGCUUUUGUAAUGGCCAUCACAAUGCACAUAAAUAGUCUUAGAUCCCUUGUGUUGUCCUACCUUAUGAAAUGUUAUAGUAGAGGAGUCAGUGCUGUUAUGUUAGCACAAGGAGUGUGCUACCAUGUAUGGGAAGCAUACCCCCUAACAAAAAAAACAUAAACACAGAAUUCAU